CUAAGCAUAUCAAUAAGCGGAGGAAAAGAAACCAACAGGGAUUGCCUCGGUACGGCGAGUGAAGCGGCAACAGCUCAAAUUUGAAAUCUGGCUCCUCCGGGGUCCGAGUUGUAAUUUGUAGAGAGUGCUUCGGGUGAGACCACGGUCUAAGUCUAUUGGAACAUUACGUCAUAGAGGGUGAGAACCCCGUAUGUGACCGUGGCUCGAGCCCAUGUGAAGCCUCUUCGACGAGUCGAGUUGUUUGGGAAUGCAGCUCAAAAUGGGUGGUAAAUUUCAUCUAAAGCUAAAUACUGGCUGGAGACCGAUAGCGCACAAGUAGAGUGAUCGAAAGAUGAAAAGCACUUUGGAAAGAGAGUCAAACAGUACGUGAAAUUGUUGAAAGGGAAGCGCUGGCAACCAGACCUGUCCGUAGGCGAUCAGCCGCUGUUCUCAGUGGUGCACUCGUUCUGCGAUCAGGCCAGCAUCGGUUUCGGCGGUCGGAUAAAGGCUUGGGGAACGUAGCUCCUUUUCGGGGGAGUGUUAUAGACCCGGGCGCAAUGCGGCCAGCCGGGACCGAGGACCGCGCUUCGGCUAGGAUGCUGGCGUAAUGGUUGUCAGCGACCCGUCUUGAAACACGGACCAAGGAGUCUAACAUCUAUGCGAGUGUUUGGGUGUCAAACCCAUGCGCGGAAUGAAAGUGAACGGAGGUGAGAACCCUUUAGGGCGCAUCAUCGACCGAUCCAGAUGUCUUCGGAUGGAUUUGAGUAUGAGCAUAGCUGUUGGGACCCGAAAGAUGGUGAACUAUGCCUGAAUAGGGUGAAGCCAGAGGAAACUCUGGUGGAGGCUCGCAGCGGUUCUGACGUGCAAAUCGAUCGUCAAAUUUGGGUAUAGGGGCGAAAGACUAAUCGAACCAUCUAGUAGCUGGUUCCUGCCGAAGUC
rnacentral:rRNA from 1 species